UCUGCUCCAUUUUCAUCAAACUCAUUCUGAUAUUUCCGUCUGCUGCGCGGUUACAAACAAACAACUUCUAUUGAGCGACGUGACGUCAUUACACUUCAUUAGGGGCUUCACCUGAUCACGUGACCUAAUUAGACGCAUCCGAUUGGCUAGAAUGUGCGUCUCUCAGCUCUGUACAGGAUCAGGAACGCCAUGAAAUAUAAAUUCCACAGCUUUAACACAAAAUAAAGGAAUAGUUCAUGAGGGAAACGUGUCAGUUGCAUGUUAAGUUGAAAUAGUUUAUAAUUAGUUUGAUAGAAAAGUAAAUUAUAAUCAUGAAACAGAGUUUAUUCAUGUUUUAUUUUCAUAUUGCUGCUAAUCAUGCUAACACAGUUCCCAGUCAGUAAUGAGCCACACCUGGUAGCAAUUAAUUCCGACUUUUUUUUCACUGAGUCGACUCAUUUGGCUCGGCUCACUGACAAGAGUCGACUCUUUUGACUCCCCAUUUCGAUUCCUUUUCCAUUUAUUUCUCUAAACAUUUUGUACAUUUUAACCAAGAUAGUUAUUCUUAGCCUAGCUGUGGCUGAAAUUAUCCCAGGAAAACAGUCUAAUGAUGAAAAUACAUCACUUUGCUUUGGAUUAUAUAAAAUGUAUUUUAAUAUUUUAAUGUAUAAAAUGUUCAUUUUCCAUUUAUACUGAUAAAUAGAAUUAAUUUAUUUACAAAAUUAUUUUAAAAACGGCUCAUAUAUGCUCUCAAUGUUCACUUAAAAGAGCCGAAUCAAAGAGUCGACUCUUUUCUGAAGGACACAUCACGCACACUUUGCUGGGAACCCGGAUGUUUGCGUCACACAUUGUUACAUGAUCACGUUAUUAUAUCUUGAAGUUUUCCUUCCAGGACAUGGUGCAGAUGAUGUAAACCAGAGCAACUUCUCAAGCAUCCAUCUUUCCUGGAUUAUCAUGAGCGUUUAAAAAGCUGGUGUGGAUUUAAACGAUGAUGUGUCUUUUCCGUGAUAUGCUUUUGAUACAGACGACUGAGAAUGCUUCAGAUCACGGGAGACUUUUUAAUCGUUCCCGUCUUCGGCACUUUACAGAAUGAAGUUCCUCCCAUGGUUAAAGUUCACCUAGAUUAACUCGGUGACAAAAGCCAAAUUACCUACGGCCAAAUGUGAAUUGGUGUUUCACAUUCCGGUGUCAAGGGGCAUGGUGGCUUAAUGGUUCGCACAUUCACCUCACACCUCCAGGGUUCCCAUGUGCAUGGAGCUUGCAUGUUCUCCCUGUGCUUUGGGGUUUCCUCUGGGUACUCCAGCUUCCUCCCCAGUCAGUGUUGUAAGCUGAUUAGCAUCUCUACAUUGUCCACUGUCUGCCCUAUAAUGGGUUGGCACCCUCUUGCUCCAGGCUCCCUGUGUAAGAUCAGCAGUACAGAGAAUGGAUGGACAUUCCAGUGGAAGUUCCUGGAAAUUUAUUCUCAGUCUGUUUGCUCAGUCUCACAGUUACAGGCUUCCAGGGUUUGAUCCUGAGCUCAGGUUACUGUCACGUUCUUCCCAUUUUUGGGUGGCGUGCUUCCCGGUUCUCCGGUUUCCUCCCAUCUUCUAAAAACAUGUCAGUAGGAGACUUGACAUUUCCUGUAAGUGUGAAUGAGUGUGUUAAUGGUGCUCCGAGAUGGACUGGCAUCCCAUCCAGGGUGUCUUCCCACCACCGCCACACUGACCAGGACUAGUGAAAGUGCUUAGUGAAGAUGAGGAUGAAUGAAUGAAUGAAUGAAUGAUAGUCUACAAAGAUAGUCCACCAGUUACACCAGCUCAACCUGUGUUUUGGUAGCUGGUCAGACGCAGUCAGAUCUUUCAGCAGGAUCUUCAUCCGAUAAUGAGAAGUUUUGAUCAGAUACUGAAAAAAAAAUACGAUAUUAAUUCAAAUAGUUAUUAUACUCUGAACUUAUUGUAGCAUCUUGGCCCUAGUAGGAAUCUAAGCUGUUACUCAUACCUUACUGUAAGACGUCUAUUUAUAGCGCACUUAGUCAGAGGCGAGGACGUGAGUGUUUACUUUACAGCAAAUAGAAAUCGCUAAGGGAGGAACCGUAGAUAUACACGUCAGAGUGCGGCAUUACUGAGACCCCAGCUCCAGACCACUUCCUAAACAAGUAAAAGUCUUUCAACGGACAAUGAUUCACACCACAUUUAGAGAUUUUUUAUCUUUAAACUAUUUAACAGAAUCGUGGCAUUGUUUGAUUUUCUGCAGAGAACUCAAUUUUCUUUAAAUAAUUCCUUUGUAAAAUGUAAUAAAUGUAAAUAAAAAAUACAAACACACUGUAACCUGUAGUUUCUUGUAUUGUAUGUAAGACAUCAGGUAUUUAAAACUAACCCUACAUUCACACUACUAAGCAACGAGCUGCUCGUACUGUGUAGUGUGUCUCUUGUGUAACGACGCUACCGUAGAUGUCGUGUGUGGGCGUGGCCUAUCCUGCAAUUUUUUUUUUAUUCUGAUGAGAAACUGUAGUAGCUAUACAUAGCUUCUAACAGUAACUAGUUAAAACACAAAUGAAAUAAUGCACUAAUCAGAUUUACGUUACAUGCGUGGCUUUACAUAGCUAACUACUAGCUACGUACACUGACCAGAGGCACUAACGAUCUCCUUCCAAGCUUUUUUUUUUUCGUAACGUCUCUGUACACGUUUAAUGAGAGGUCAUAUAUGACAGGAUAAGAUGAAACCACAGUUAUAGUUUGUUUUUUAUUUUCAUUUUUGUGCGUCAGAUCGUAAAUUGGAACUAAAGUUACGAGCGGGGAAUUGAAGAAACGUCGAUCUGAGUAAUCAUUCGAGACAAUUGUUUUGGAUUUGUCGCUUCACCACACCAUACUUCAUUUGCAUAAAAUGAAGAAAAUCUCACUUCAAGUGUCAUUAGUUGCACUGUUGCUAUGUCACGUGACAUAAUUUACAUAAUCGUAAUUAUUUUCGCUUAAUAAAAUAACACAUUAGAUACUCAGGAUGGAUGAAACUAAACUUUGUCAAAUAGUGACCUGUUUGCAGAGAAAUUGUCGCUAGCUAACUUAAGCUAGCUAGACUUCUCUGAGUAUUCUCUUGGCGAUACCUGCACAAGGCAAUGAUAACGACUGUGAGAACUUUUAAAGCGAUGACACGCAGCGUGGAAUCGUGUCUCGCAACAGCGUUUGGUGUGUGCGUUAAGUUGGGUGUUGCAGAAUAAGUUUACGACUCCUCUAUAAUCAGCUGUUUAUUUUACAGCGCAGAAAGGAAGCACCUUUACAGCAACCUCUGCGUGAUGACCUCCCGUUGCUACGUGUUUAUGAUGUAUUCGCUUAUCUCGGUUUCUGAUAUGUAAUCUGUGGGAGGAACAGAAAGAGCUACAGGACUAUUAUAUGAACGCACGAAAUCUGUUCAUUCCUUCUUUUGUACAUACGCUAUUGUGUGAGCGGGACAUGAUUAGACACGCUGCGUUCUGUCCAGAAACACUGGCACCUGUGUGUGUGUGUGUGUGUGUGUGUGUGUGUGUGGCACAGGUAAACGUCCAUGGUGACCGGUUUGAAUAGACUGAAACCGUAAACAAAACAGUGAAGCCCUCGACACCAGAAACCGCCAGCAAACAAUUAUAUAAUCAAGGACAAGGAUCAGCCAGGACGUGUCCCGUGUCUUGAUUUUACUUCGUUAGUUUUGUACUGGAGCUACACAAGUGCUAAAGUUGCUAAUAAAUAACGAAAGCCUCCAGUUUCGCACGGUUUGAACGCGGAGGAUGUGCAUUAGAAACAGUUUAGAUGCUAAUAAAUAACUGAUUAGUCUAUUUAAUGCUUUAAUAUGAGCUUAUACCAGAGAAAUCUGGAUGCUGAUUGGUCAGAAGGCAUUGAUUAAUUUUCUACAGCAGCAGCUCGGACAGUAGCGCUGGCUGUAAUUCACGACAGGUUUAUAUUAAUGCGCUUUUCUAUAGUUUCUAUAGUUUAUGUAAAUGUAAAAACAAACAGAUAAAAAAUAUAACGUGUCAGCCAUUAAUCAUUUAGAAAAAAACACUGUAAUUGUUGGGAAAUUGAGGAAUGAAAAAGUUCAUAGUGGUAACAGUAACUCCGCUUCGUUACACCACACCAUCGUGGAUUACUUUCCUAUCACAGCCCUGCAUGGAGUGUGUUAGUCCUUACUUCCUCUUAUUUCAGCAGAAGUAACUGUGGUUUUGAUAAUGAUAAUAAUAAUAAUAAUAAUAAUAAAUCCAAUACAUGAGUAUUUUUGUAAUAAAAAUGCUUGUGUGAACUCAGAAUAGUCAUAUUGAGCAAACUGGUCUUGAGGCGAGAAGCAAACUUCAGACACCAAACAUGUCAUAGUGUGCUGAUCGGCAACGUUUGGGGUAAACGAGACAUUAUCUACAGACGUAAUUUUAUUUUUGGCUAAAGGAGUCCUCUUUUUAAAUGUUCCAAACAUCUUGGGGCACAAAUCCAGCCUGUUUGAAUGAAUGAAUGAAUAAGUAAGUAAGUAAGUAAGUAAAUAAAUAAAUAAAUGGGAAAGACAAUUAUUCUUUUGCAGAUGCACAAAAGCACGCACGAAAGAAGACUCAACUCAUAACUGAGAUUUACAAAAAUUUAUUCUUUUUUAGCUUUGUGAUAGAAAAAAAAAAAUCCACAGGAAAGCCCUACGUACAUUAAGCAUGACUUUUUUUCUUUUGUUUUUGUUUUUUUUUCUUUUACAUGCUGCAGUUAGUUCAUCUCCAGGAAUCCCUCAACAUCCUAUUAAACAGAUUUAUCAUUGGAUUCCGCUUCACUGAUUUAAGGCCUGGUGCUGAAGGCGAUGAGAAGCGCUCUGCACUGUGAUCCAUGUCUCCGUCUCAGUCACGUCCUCAUGAUACACAGCUCCAUUUGCAUAUUAAAUACACUGCAUAUAUUGAGCAUGAGCGGCGCCCGAGCCGGAGAACGUAGUCCGUCAAAAAUAAUAACAAUAAUAAAGGUGCAGUAGAAAUAAGAGUUAUGGAAAGGGUAGAUACAGGGUUAUUUAUUAUUCUUCCUUUCAGCUAAAAAUAAUAACACAUAUUAGCCAAGUACUUUUGUGCGUGUGUGUGAAUGUGUGUUUUUGUGUACGAGUGAGUGUGUGUGUGUGUGUGUGUGUGUGACUGAGCGUGAGUGAGUGUGUGUAUAUACAUGAGUGUGUGAGAGAGAGAGUGUGAAUGAGCGUGAAUGAGUGUGUGUGUGUGCACGCAAGUAUGAGCAAAUGAGUGUGUGUGUAUAUAUAUAUAUAUAUAUGUGUGUGAG